CGGUGGGUGCUAGCUGUGGGCCACAUUCCACGUGGUCCGUGACGAAGUUAACACAUUAAGCACCCCGCCUGGGGAGUACGGCCGCAAGGCUAAAACUCAAAGGAAUUGACGGGGGCCCGCACAAGCGGCGGAGCAUGCGGAUUAAUUCGAUGCAACGCGAAGAACCUUACCAAGGCUUGACAUAUACAGGAAAAGCGUAGAAAUACGCUCCCCGCAAGGUCUGUAUACAGGUGGUGCAUGGUUGUCGUCAGCUCGUGUCGUGAGAUGUUGGGUUAAGUCCCGCAACGAGCGCAACCCUCGUCCUAUGUUGCCAGCACGUAAUGGUGGGAACUCAUGGGAUACUGCCGGGGUCAACUCGGAGGAAGGUGGGGAUGACGUCAAAUCAUCAUGCCCCUUAUGUCUUGGGCUUCACGCAUGCUACAAUGGCCGGUACAGAGGGCUGCAAUACCGUAAGGUGGAGCGAAUCCCAAAAAGCCGGUCUCAGUUCGGAUUGAGGUCUGCAACUCGACCUCAUGAAGUCGGAGUCGCUAGUAAUCGUAGAUCAGCAACGCUACGGUGAAUACGUUCCCGGGCCUUGUACACACCGCCCGUCAAGUCACGAAAGUCGAUAACACCCGAAGCCGGUGGCCUAACCGCAAGGAGGGAGCCGUCGAAGGUGGGAUUGGUGAUUGGGACUAAGUCGUAACAAGGUAACC
rnacentral:rRNA from 1 species